UCAUGAUAGAUCUAGACAGUUCUACGUUAUUUCAUGGUUGACUGUGUACCUAGAACAAUUGCGUGACUAAGAAAAUAUGUUAACUGGUUGAUAUAAGUGAAUGAGCGAAGGUCAGGAAACAGUCACGUGAUGUCUCUGGUAAUUGUGACCUGCGCUCUGCCGGCUUCUCUUGUGUGGUGCAGCGGAGCCUGGUUAUAAGUAUAGAGGCUGAACCGUGUACCAAUCUGUAGACAUGUGAAGAAAUCAAAACAUUGACACGUUUAAAAACUGAGUCUCAAGUGAAUGGACAAUGAAGAAUGGAGUUCGACAAGGUCUGGAGCCGUGCACGCCGCGAGGACUGAUGAACAGAUACGUGUGGCUGUGUACGAGGCGUGAACGACGAUUAGCAGGCAGAUGCUUCCAGAACCACCACCAGCACCACCACCACCAGCAGCACCACCACCACCACCACCACCACCAGUGCGCGCUGUGAAGUUUCAGCGCCGCUCCUCGCUGUUCCUCCCACGGGCGUGAAUAAUAUUUUGAAUGUAUAACCAAGUAGUGAACUAAUCCCCGUGCAGGACACACAAACACGCCGCCACGCGGGAUGCCGCACCACGCAGAAUUAAUGGAAGCAUUUUUUCAGUGUCUCUUUUUCCCCGAUUCGCGACGCACCGGUACACAGGAUUGGUUGGUUCGCGGAUUCAUUGCUUGCACGCGAACGCUCAACUGCACCGACAUGAUUAUUUAUUGACGACAAAAUAAAAAAAAGAACUGGAUGUAACCUGUUAAUUACGAGAAUAAAAGGCCACAAUCAGACAGAUGCCGCAAACAAGUGGAGUAGAUCUGUACCUUGUCAACAGCAGCUGCAGCAAUAGGUAACCGUCAUUACCAGGCUCGCUGUGUCAAAGAGAGAGACAGCAAACAAAACAAGCCUUCCCUUUGUCUGUAUUGUGGACUUAUUGCCAACUGUUUGUCUCAUUAAUACUUACGGUUUCAUUACUGUCUCCUGAGCGUCUCUUCUGGAACCUGGGUCGAGCGCUCCUUAAAAUUUAGGGAGGAGAUGCUAGUGGUUGGGAGAGGAAUAGAGACAAGGUGGAAUGGAGAGCGGGAGAGGAGGAGGGAAGGG